rnacentral:rRNA from 1 species
UGUCCGCCCGGGUACUACGAGCCCCAGCUUAAAACCCAAAGGACUUGGCGGUGCUUAAGAUCCACCUAGAGGAGCCUGUUCUAGAACCGAUAACCCCCGUUUAACCUCACCCCCUCUUGUUCAUACCGUCUAUAUACCGCCGUCGUCAGCCUACCCUGUGAAGGUUUAAUAGUAAGCAGAAUUGGCAAAGCCUAAAACGUCAGGUCGAGGUGUAGCACAUGAGGGGGGAAGAAAUGGGCUACAUUCUCUACCAAAGAGCACACGAAAAAAGGGAUGAAAUGCCCUUUAGAAGGAGGAUUUAGUAGUAAGGCGUGAAUAGAGCGCACCCCUGAAAUUGGCCCUAAAGCGCGUACACACCGCCCGU